UACAGAGGGGGCAAGCGUUAUUCGGAAUUAUUGGGCGUAAAGGGCGCGUAGGCGGUUCUUCAAGUCUCUCGUGAAAUCCCUCGGCUUAACUGAGGACGUGCGGGAGAUACUGAAGGGCUUGAGUCCGGAAGAGGGUGGUGGAAUUCCCAGUGUAGCGGUGAAAUGCGUAGAUAUUGGGAGGAACACCGACGGCGCAGGCAGCGUCCUGGCCGCUUGCUGACACUGAGGCACGAAAGCUGGGGGAGCAAACAGG
rnacentral:rRNA from 1 species